rnacentral:rRNA from 1 species
AGAGUUUGAUCCUGGCUCAGAUUGAACGCUGGCGGCAGGCCUAACACAUGCAAGUCGAGCGGAUGAAGAGAGCUUGCUCUCUGAUUCAGCGGCGGACGGGUGAGUAAUGCCUAGGAAUCUGCCUGAUAGUGGGGGACAACGUUUCGAAAGGAACGCUAAUACCGCAUACGUCCUACGGGAGAAAGCAGGGGACCUUCGGGCCUUGCGCUAUCAGAUGAGCCUAGGUCGGAUUAGCUAGUUGGUGAGGUAACGGCUCACCAAGGCGACGAUCCGUAACUGGUCUGAGAGGAUGAUCAGUCACACUGGAACUGAGACACGGUCCAGACUCCUACGGGAGGCAGCAGUGGGGAAUAUUGGACAAUGGGCGAAAGCCUGAUCCAGCCAUGCCGCGUGUGUGAAGAAGGUCUUCGGAUUGUAAAG